CAAGGGGUAGUUUAAUGUUAUAAUUUUAGCUUUGGGAGCUAUAGGUGGGAGUUAGAGUCUCCCCCCUUUGA
rnacentral:tRNA from 1 species